AGAUUGAACGCUGGCGGCAUGCCUUACACAUGCAAGUCGAACGGCAGCGCGGGGCAACCUGGCGGCGAGUGGCGAACGGGUGAGUAAUAUAUCGGAACGUACCCUGGAGUGGGGGAUAACGUAGCGAAAGUUACGCUAAUACCGCAUACGAUCUAAGGAUGAAAGUGGGGGAUUCGCAAGAACCUCAUGCUCCUGGAGCGGCCGAUAUCUGAUUAGCUAGUUGGUGGGUAAAGGCCUACCAAAGGCAUCGAUCAGUAGCUGGUCUGAGAGGACGACCAGCCACACUGGAACUGAGACACGGUCAGACUCUACGGGAGGCAGCAGUGGGAAUUUUGGACAAGUGGGCGAAAGCCUGAUCCAGCAAUGCCGCGUGAGUGAAGAAGGCUUCGGUUAGUAAGCUCUUUGUCAGGAAGAACGGUGAGAGUACGUAAUAU
rnacentral:rRNA from 1 species